rnacentral:rRNA from 1 species
GUGAGGAAUAUUGGUCAAUGGGCGCGAGCCUGAACCAGCCAAGUAGCGUGAGGGAUGACUGCCCUAUGGGUUGUAAACCUCUUUUGCAGGGGGGUAAAGUGGUUCACGUGUGGACCAUUGCAAGUACCCUGCGAAUAAGGAUCGGCUAACUCCGUGCCAGCAGCCGCGGUAAUACGGAGGAUCCGAGCGUUAUCCGGAUUUAUUGGGUUUAAAGGGAGCGUAGGCGGGGGUUUAAGUCAGCUGUGAAAUGCCGUGGCCCAACCAUGGAACUGCAGUUGAAACUGGACCUCUUGAGAGUACAUAAGGAAGGCGGAAUUCGUGGUGUAGCGGUGAAAUGCAUAGAUAUCACGAAGAACUCCGAUUGCGAAGGCAGCUUUCCGGGGUACAUCUGACGCUGAAGCUCGAAAGUGCGGGAAUCAAACAGGAUUAGAAACCCCUGUAGUCC